AACGAACGCUGGCGGCAGGCCUAACACAUGCAAGUCGAACGCAUCGCAAGAUGAGUGGCGCACGGGUGAGUAACACGUGGGAAUGUAUCCUUUGGUUCGGAAUAACGUCUGGAAACGGACGCUAAUACCGGAUGAGCCCUGCGGGGGAAAGAUUUAUCGCCGAAGGAGCAGCCCGCGUCUGAUUAGGUAGUUGGUGGGGUAAAGGCCUACCAAGCCGACGAUCAGUAGCUGGUCUGAGAGGAUGAUCAGCCACACUGGGACUGAGACACGGCCCAGACUCCUACGGGAGGCAGCAGUGGGGAAUAUUGGACAAUGGGCGCAAGCCUGAUCCAGCCAUGCCGCGUGAGUGAUGAAGGCCUUCGGGUUGUAAAGCUCUUUCGCACACGACGAUGAUGACGGUAGUGUGAGAAGAAGCCCCGGCUAACUUCGUGCCAGCCGCCGCGGUAAAAC
rnacentral:rRNA from 1 species